rnacentral:rRNA from 1 species
UAACGAAUCUUCCGCAAUGCGCGAAAGCGUGACGGAGCAAUGCCGCGUGUGGGAUGAAGCUCCUCGGAGUGUAAACCACUGUCAGGGGUCAGAAACACAAUGAUCAGCCCCAGAGGAAGGGCCGGCUAACUCUGUGCCAGCAGCCGCGGUAAUACAGAGGGCCCGAGCGUUAAUCGGAAUCACUGGGCUUAAAGGGUGCGCAGGCGGCGAUGUAAGUGCUUUGUGAAAUCCCACCGCUCAACGGUGGAACUGCUUGGCAUACUACAUCGCUUGAGGUUGGUAGAGGCUGCCGGAACCAUAGGUGGAGCGGUGAAAUGCGUAGAUAUCUAUGGGAACGCCAAAGGAGAAGUCAGGCAGCUGGGCCAAUUCUGACGCUGAGGCACGAAAGCGUGGGUAGCGAACGGGAUUAGAUACCCCCGUAGUCC